UACGUAGGGGGCAAGCGUUGUCCGGAUUUAUUGGGCGUAAAGAGCGUGUAGGCGGUCAGGUAGGUCCGUUGUGAAAACUCGAGGCUCAACCUCGAGACGUCGGUUGAAACCAUCUGGCUAGAGUCCGGAAGAGGAGUGUGGAAUUCCCGGUGUAGCGGUGAAAUGCGCAGAUAUCGGGAAGAACACCCGUGGCGAAGGCGGCACUCUGGGACGGUACUGACGCUGAGACGCGAAAGCGUGGGGAGCGAACAGGA
rnacentral:rRNA from 1 species